rnacentral:misc_RNA from 1 species
CAGCUUGCAGAAAGUAUGGGGUUGACGUUUCUGGGCAGAACUCAUUGGUUUCUAAAUCUCCCCAUCAUUUUGAGCAGAUGAAGAAAAAUGUGUCGGGUGAAAAUGUGGUAGACUUGUUCACUUAUCAGAGAAUGGGAGCUGAAUUUUUCUCACCUGAGCAUUUUCCUGCUUUCACCGAGUUUGUUAGAAGCUUUAAUCAACCAGAAAAGCAUGCAGAUGAUCUUCCUGAGGAAGAGGAAGAAGUUGCGGAAUCUCU